UUAUGAACUGGUGAAAAGGGAAGAUGGGUGAAAGUCCCACACGGUCCCGCCGCUGUAAGAGAGAAGUUUUUCUACAUGAAACCACUGAUAUCUUAAUAUAUUGGGAAGGGUGGAAAAGUGAUGAUACUCAAGUCAGAAGACCUGCCUAUUUUUGU
rnacentral:ncRNA from 1 species